ACUCAGAUAUUCCAUUCACUGGCUGGCACCAUUGCUUUUGGUCUAUAGAAGGCAGUGACAUCAUAGAGGAAUAGAGGACAAUGUUCACCUAAUGGCAUCCAGGGAAACAAUUCAGACUGGAAAGGGCCGGAUCCCAAUAUCCCCUUCAUGAGUGUGUCCCAAUGACCUUCCUAAAGUAGGAACAAGACUCCAAGUCAUCAUCUCUGAGGGCAUUUCAUUCAGAUUACAGAAAUAAGCGUGAUCUCAUGGCUUCAGUUUCAAAUUCAAUGCACAUUAACUUGGAUUGGAUCCUUAAGAACUUCUAUUACUAUACAACCCUCCUAACACAAAUUAUCUUCCUCAUUAACAAAUCACCUCUCCUCAAUUUCCUGCAUCCGAGCCCCUGAGAGUACAGGGCAAAUCUCCAACCUCUGACUAUCUUUCAGAGUCCUGAUUUCUCUGCCAGAUGUCCCACAUCCUGAUCACCUUUGUGGCCGCCACCUUUGAAUUGACAGGUCCUGGAGACAUUGAAAGGAUGGAUACAACCAGUGAGAGGCAGAAUACGGAGAGUGUACUGAAGAAUUGAGAGCCAAGACGAAUUGAACUGCCUUUCUAGUCACGUGUUGUCUCUAAGUUUUGUGAUACAGUAAACUUACAGUAGCUUUAACAA